UAUUCUGAAAUUCCAAUUUUCUCUUUUGCUGUCUUAGCCCCGAGUUUUUACAAUUCCCUGCCUGAAGAGCUUAGGAUGGUAAAAUCAUUUUAAUCUGUUGAAUCACUUCUUUAAAGCACAUUUUUACAGUAAGGCCUUAAAAACUUGAGUUUACUCCUUCCAUUUUCAUUAUCCCCUGUCUUAUUAGUAUGUAUACUCCCAUUUUCACUUCCAGAUCUGUGCAUUUGUUAUGCAUUAUCUGUGUACAUUAACUGGAGUCGGUACACUUAUAGAGACAGUGUAAUUGAAGCAUUUGUAUUGUUUUCAGAGGAAGUAGCUCUGGUGCUCAUAAACAACAUGGUUGUUUUGUGACUGGUUUCCAAACCCCCUGGCUGACUGUUCCAAAAAUGACUCAGAGUUUUCUGUCAGGGUGACAACGGCUCUCUCCGUCUGCAGCCUCAGAUUUUCUUUUUCUCCCACAGAGUUCCACACCUUGCCAAUUACCUGACCCUUCCUACAUGCACACCUGUUCCUCAUCCCCUCAUCUACCCACACCUGUUCCUCAUCAAGCCCCUUCUCCUACUCCCAGGAAGCCAGAUUGACAAGAUUGCUUUUUUCACCAUAGUUUCCAGCCAUUUCCUGACCAUCCUUGUUUGAUGUUUUUCAACCUUUUUGCCAGUGUGUCUGGGUUUGGAUCCUUUAUUAUUCUGUUGUCAGAGCACUUUUGCCGCAGCUGCUCCGAGCUCUUCUCAUCGAAACUCUCUGCACAUUUCAAAAAAGUCGCUGGAGUCGUCACCGAGGAGAAGCUUGUUGUAGCUCGUCUGUCCCGAGCUUUAACUAGCAUAACAGAGACAGCAAAGCAUUGUGAGAGAGCAGAUCGUCCAGACGCUGAAUGUUGUGUUCCUAUCAGCCGACACAUUGUAAGCUUGUUGGUAGCUGUCUAACCGGCAUCCAGAAAAUAUCAAAUAUAACAAAAAUAUCCAA